CACCCGGAGCUGCUCAGCCUGGGAUGUGGUGGGGCACAUCUUCAGGGAGUUCAGCCGCGCCACAGGAAGAAGGACAGCCGGAGACCUUUCUGCCCGGGAAGCCCAGGAAGAAGGAGCUCUCCAGGAGCUGUGCAUGGACAUCCUGGGAUCACUGGACGUCUCUGUGAGAGGGAUGUCCAAACUCCUGUGGCCGCGGCUGCUG